GAUGAAGAACGUAGCGAAAUGCGAUAAGUAAUGUGAAUUGCAGAAUUCAGUGAAUCAUCGAAACUUUGAACGCACAUUGCGCCCGCCAGUAUUCUGGCGGGCAUGCCUGUUCGAGCGUCAUUUCAACCAUCAAGCCCCAGGCUUGUGUUGGGGACCUGCGGCUGCCGCAGGCCCUGAAAACCAGUGGCGGGCUCGCUGUCACACCGGGCGUAGUAGAUUUUAUCUCGCUCUGGGCGUGCUGCGGGUUCCGGCCGUUAAAAAACCCUUUUAACCCAAGGUUGACCUCGGAUCAGGUAGGAAUACCCGCUGAACUUAAGCAUAUCAAUAAGCGGAGGA
rnacentral:misc_RNA from 1 species